AUGUCAGAGCCCCGCCAUCCCCUGCGCCCCCUGCUCGCGCAGAAGUUCCCCGGCACGCUGCAGCAUAUUUCAUCCCGCCGUGUGGGCGGUAAUAUCUCACCCAGGGAGCAGCCAGAGAUACGGGGAACGAACAAAUCAGAGCCCCGCAGGUGUUAUCAUUUACAAUUUCGGGGAGAAAGAUUGCAGCGGAGUUGGGGGGGAAGGAUGACAGAAAGCAAGGUUUUUGCACCCGGAAUGGUGGCAGAGAGACGGCACCUGAUGGCUGAGGGGGGACUAACGUAUGCAUUUCGGGUUGAAGGCAGAGCAUCUUCCUCUUCUUGCCACCAAGCAGCAGCACCUAACAGGACAACAAGUGUCAUCUUUUUCAGGCCCACCCGAAGACCAGCACGUCUGCUGGAUAUUCUCCGAGUGACAGCAUUUUCUCCGAGUGAGAGCACAGACAAGAAGAGUCUGAACAGGAGUCAGAUCUGUAGCUGUCCUAAACAAGAGCAACACCAUCAGUGUCAAGCUUGAGACAGAGAGAAAUUUGCACAAGAAAUCCAAAAUCGGUGACCAGGAUACUACAAGAGCCCAGGAAGGCCAGCCGAGCUUCUGCACUGAAGGCAGUAAAACUCAGAUGGGGAUGCGACAUUCACACAAAUCACCUCUUUGUGGUACUUGGAGAACUUGAUUUCUUAUCUGUAUUUAUGCUCUUAGUGCUAAUGUGAGCUAGAACAUUGCUAUUACAUAUGCUUGACCAUAUCAAAAUGGUAGGUAAUUAGUUUCAGUUAUGUAGAAUAUCUGAGGGAUGUUUAAUUUAUUAGAUUUUUAAUUGGUCUCUGUGUGUAAUGGGCUAGAAAAAAAGGUAAGAAAUGAGGCUGUAUAAUUCAUCUGAAAAAAUCCUUUUUCCUCCCCUCAUUCCUUCAUUUUCAACUGUUGAGAUUUCUUUUUGUUAUUUAUAACUUAUUUAAUUAUCUGCUUUGGAAUAAUUUUUAGUGGAUACUUGCCAGUUUACUAAUAUUCACUGCCCACUACCUGAUGGUGUCAAAAACAUACCAUCUGUUCACUUGUGCCUUCCAAAGUCUCUGAAGUAGCUAGCUGACUCAAGCUGCAGGUGGUAGGAUUGCUCAAAGUACAUAAUCUCCAAACUUUUUAAUAACAAAACUUUUCUUUCAUGUCUGCUUUUUUUUUUUUUUAACUACAUUCAUGACUUGAUUAAGGCUUUCUCAGCCACCCUUCUGCUGUACANNNNNNNNNNUAAGGCUUUAGGCUUUCUCAGCCACCCUUCUGCUGUACACAAACCUGCCUCCACCACAAACACACCUGGUACCUCUGUGCUGAAGAAGACUAGUGCCCUACUUUCACCUUUUUUUUUUUUUAUUGUCUUUUUUUUUUUCCUGUUACACACACACCACCACAUUUCCCUCCAGGAAGGAUGUCUCAGCAUUUUUGCUGUGCUUGAGCCAAGACUAUGUGUCCCAGUCCCUGAUCACAUUUCUGUUGAUAUCCUACUCAAUUCCACAGUGGUGACCACCACUUGUUUGGUAUUUUUGAGAGACACAAACGCGGCUCCUCUUUGGCUGGACCCCUGCACCAUCAUCACUGUAUCAAAGCUGGAUCCCCCCGGUCUUUGCAACUCUUUUCCCCUCUUCUCCUCUCCCUCCUCCUUCCCCUACCAGGUUCUCUCCUGCCUGGAAGCCAGGGAGAAACUUGUGGCAUUUAGGUGCAGAUGUCUUCUGCAUGGACGUACGAGGUGUAAUGGGGCUGUGAGCCAGGCAGAGCUGGCACUUACCAGGUGGAGAUGAAAAUCUGAGGGGGGCAUUGGAUGCAUUUACAUGUCCAGGUAGACUGGGCCCUGAAAAUAAGAUCUAACCUAAAAAUUAUUUUAUAACUGUAACAGUUCCUAAGUUUAAGUAAGUUUAUUUAGUUGCUAAGUUUACUCUAAGUUAAAGCUUGAGACAGUGGAAUUUCUGUGGGGGAGCUGGGAGCAAAGCAAGCAGCUGAAAAAUGUGGAGCCUGAAAACAUUCACUGUUCAGUAAUGCCCUUGGCUUUAUGACUACUCUUAUCUGUCUGUCUUGCUGGUAAACUUUUGCAGGAACAGGUUUGUGAUCAGCAUUUCUUUCUUAGAAAUCUCAACAUCUUAGAUUUCUUAGAACCACCCAGGAGUUUCCCAGUCACCCUGGGAGAUGACCUGUUGUGUUACCUUGGAUGAGCUCCCCAAGGGUGCUGGGCACCUAACUCAUGUUGCAGGACUCAGGCGUGGUAAAUGACCCUGUAAAACCCAAAUGUGGUUCAUCAUUCUGCCAAAUUAGGACUGGGAGAGUGGAUCUGAAAGCUAGGAAUCCUGGCUCAGCCUGCUGCUUGUACAGGACAAUCACUCAUGAAUUAAUCCCUGUUAAAACAUCUUAAAUUAAGAGCUAUCAAUAGGUUAAAAGGCUAAUAAUACAAUAAAAACAUAUGAUUUAAAAAGGGAAAAUACUUCAGUGGUUUUGGUGGGAGAGUGGCUAUCUCUGCAGGCUUUUACUUAAACUCCAUGAAACGCCCAGUGUUAUUUCUGCCACUGAAGAUUAAUUUCAGUGCCAUUAUCAAACGUAACCGUUGAGGAAUUAAUUGCAUUUAUAUCUCAUAUCUAGGUUCUAUUUAUAUAAUCAAGCAAUCUGGAACAGAUAAGCUCCUUCUUGAGAAACCUCUGCUGCUCAACAGCAUUUGACUUUGCCUCAGACAGGUUACGGCCCCCCGGGACCUGAGGAGCUCACUAAAAUGCCAUUUGUAAUGCAGCAUGACAAAUCCCGGAGCCAGGGCGAUAAUCUCCAAGAACUCUGUGCAAAUCGUCCCUCUGUCUCCGCAAAAGUGAUUAAUGGGCUCUGCAGAACCAGCAUACGGCCCUCUGUAUUAAUUACUUCAGAGGCCUGCUACAUGCAAACCCCAAAGCCUCGCAGGGAGCCUUGGACUGAAGCACCGAGCUGCUUCCCAAACGUGGGCUUGCAGCUCUGCUCCCUGGGGGACUUCGUGUCCCCAAGCCAGGACUGAUGGGCUGGUGGAUGGAUGGGAAAAUGUAAGAGGAGCCUGGUGUUCACGUGAGGACGGGGAGGACGUUCAGGUGGGGACCAGGAGCCGGAGGGAAAGGGAUGGUCCAGAAGGGAGCGUGGUUUUCAAUAUUCCCUCUGUCUCUGCCAUAACUGACAUGAUUUAAAAUGCAUACGCCCUCUGUAAAUCAUUGCAGCUCUACUGCAACGAGUGAAACUAUGCCAAUUUAUCUCCAGGGAAGAUCUGAGCCUAAAUGUUUUACAGAGAGGGAAAGGAGAUGCGGAGGGAAGUGUGCAUUUAUCUUACCAGUACGUUCUCUGGGCCUCAUCCAAGGGGAAAAUUUCUACGUCUUGUCUCAGGACCUUUAAAUCCCGGCUGUGGGAUGUUGGUUAGAGGCCCCAUGGAAAAGUCUUAAUGAAUUUACCAUGGAUUUUUUUUUAAUUCAUUAAAAAGAUGUUGGAUCCAGUAAAGCACACCAGUCUGCCUGCGUAUUUUUCACUUGUCCUGUAGAAGCCCAUGGCAGGGAGAUCACU
rnacentral:lncRNA from 1 species